CUGGGGACUGCUCGUGACAAGACUGAGGCUCGGCCCAGGGAAGGCCCUGCCAGGCUUCCCACAGCCCCAGUCACUGACCUUACCAUUUACAACAGCUGUAGCCCCAACAGGAGACUAGAAGGACUCUCAGAGGGGAUCAGUUUGAGGGGCCAAGGCCUCCAGGGCUCCCAUUCAUUUAGUGAGCUACUCACUGAGCAUGUAGCGUGCGCCGGGAGCCUAGGCUGCUCACCUGGUCUCCACAGCCAGCCUGUGAGGGCACAGCUCCUGGUGUCUUGUUCUCCCCUCUGACAAUACCCUGUCCUUCAGUCAUCGGAGUUGUUGGUGUGCCUGGUACCACUGUGUACCCAGCACCAGCGGCAGCUGUCACCUUGGGAGUCUUCGCACAACCCAUGUUCCAGGUCAGGAAAGUAGAGCUCCAAGACAAGCAGAGACCUGGCCAACACUCUGCUCAUUUCCCCGAUUCCAUUCUGCUUGAGUUUUUCUUUAAGCCCACAGCAAACCUCAGCUUUCCCUUGCCUGAAGUUGAAACUGUCACCAGCAGACAUGGAUGUGACUCUACAGGAUGCCAGCUCCUGAUGGGGAGGAGACUGCUGAGGGAACAGACAUGGGAGAAGCGUUUGUUACUACCCCUUGCCCUGCUGCUCUCCUUUACCCUCUGGGAAGUGGGUAUAGGUUCCUCAGGAAGAACACCCCACAGCCUCCAUGAAGAAGGGGCACUGGUGUGGGAGCUGGAGCCCUUGUCCUGCCUCUAGUGAGCUGCAGAGGUCCCCUCUCAAAGGACACGGUGCUUCUCCUCAAAGCAGAGAUCACUGGCUCACUGAAUAAAGAAGCUCAUAUGAUGAAAAACAUGUGAGAGGGGCUUUGCCCAGUACCUGGUG
rnacentral:lncRNA from 1 species